CGGGGUGCACCAGGCGCGAAAACUUUGCAAUGCGGGAAACCGUGACAAGGGAACUCUGAGUGCCCGUUAAAUCGGGCUGUCCAUCGGUUUAAAUAACCGGUGAAGAAAGGGCCGGGCAAGACCGGUGCCAGCCGCCGCGGUAAUACCGGCGGCUCGAGUGGUGGCCACUAUUACUGGGCUUAAAGCGUUCGUAGCUGGUUUGUUAAGUCUCUGGGGAAAUCUUCCGGCUUAACCGGAAGGCGUCUCAGGGAUACUGGCAGACUAGGGACCGGGAGAGGUGAGAGGUACUCCAGGGGUAGGAGUGAAAUCCUGUAAUCCUUGGGGGACCACCUGUGGCGAAGGCGUCUCACCAGAACGGCUCCGACAGUGAGGGACGAAAGCUGGGGGAGCAAACCGGAUUAGAUACCCGGGUAGUCCCAGCUGUAAACGAUGCGCGUUAGGUGUAUCGGUGACCACGAGUCACCGAGGUGCCGAAGAGAAAUCGUGAAACGUGCCGCCUGGGAAGUACGGUCGCAAGGCUGAAACUUAAAGGAAUUGGCGGGGGAGCACAAGGGCGAUUCGC
rnacentral:rRNA from 1 species